rnacentral:sRNA from 26 species
UUUUUAAUAACUAAUUGAAAUUUAUUGUUUUUAUUUAAGGCCCCAUCUGAUUUUUAAAAAUGUCAUUAAAACUUAUUAAUAUAAUAUCUUUAUGUCGUGGUUGAACUCAUAUAAUGAAAAGGUCGACGGUUCUCGUUCCUCAGGACGAUAUCCUUUUGAG